rnacentral:tRNA from 2 species
GUGCUCGUAGCGAAGCUGGAUAUCGCGUCAGACUCCGACUCUGAAGGCCGCGGGUUCGAAUCCCGCCGGGCACACCA